AGGUGUUACUGCUGCUGUAUCUAACUGUAGUGACUGUAUAAUACCUGCCCAUCACCUCUUCAGCCUAUAGACAGACUGUAACUGAGACCGGCUAAAGGUGUUACUGCUGCUGAAUCUAACUGUAGUUACUGUAUAAUACCUGCCCAUCACCUCUUCAGCCUAUAGACAGACUGUAACUGAGACCAGCUGAAGGUGUUACUGCUGCUGUAUCUAACUGUAGUGACUGUAUAAUACCUGCCCAUCACCUCUUCAGCCUAUACACAGACUGUAACUGAGACCGGCUGAAGGUGUUACUGCUGCUGUAUCUAACUGUAGUUACUGUAUAAUACCUGCCCAUCACCUCUUAAGCCUAUAGACAGACUGUAACUGAGACCGGCUGUAGGUGUUACUGCUGCUGUAUCUAACUGUAGUGACUGUAUAAUACCUGCCCAUCACCUCUUCAGCCUAUAGACAGACUGUAACUGAGACCCGCUGAAUGAGUUACUGCUGCUGUAUCUAACUGUAGUCACUGUAUAAUACCUGCCCAUCACCCUUUCAUCCUAUAGACAGACUGUAACUGAGACCGGCUGAAGGUGUUACUGCUGCUGUAUCUAACUGUAGUGACUGUAUAAUACCUGCCCGUCACCUCUUCAGCCUAUAGACAGACUGUAACUGAGACCAGCUGAAGGUGUUACUGCUGCUGUAUCUAACUGUAGUGACUGUAUAAUACCUGCCCAUCACCUCUUCAGCCUAUAGACAGACUGUAACUGAGACCGUCUGAAGGUGUUACUGCUGCUGUAUCUAACUGUAGUGACUGUAUAAUACCUGCCCAUCACCUCUUCAGCCUAUAGACAGACUGUAACUGAGACCGGCUGAAGGAGUUACUGCUGCUGUAUCUAACUGUAGUGACUGUAUAAUACCUGCCCGUCACCUCUUCAGCCUAUAGACAGACUGUAACUGAGACCAGCUGAAGGUGUUACUGCUGCUGUAUCUAACUGUAGUGACUGUAUAAUACCUGCCCAUCACCCUUUCAUCCUAUAGACAGACUGUAACUGAGACCGGCUGAAGGUGUUACUGCUGCUGUAUCUAACUGUAGUGACUGUAUAAUACUUGCCCAUCACCUCUUCAGCCUAUAGACAGACUGUAACUGAGACCGACUGAUGGUGUUACUGCUGCUGUAACUGAGACUGACUGAAGGAGUUACUGCCGCUGUAUCUAACUGUAGUGACUGUAUAAUACCUGCCCAUCACCUCUUCAGCCUAUAGACAGACUGUAACUGAGACCGACUGAAGGAGUUACUGCUGCUGUAUCUAACUGUAGUGACUGUAUAAUACCUGCCCAUCACCUCUUCAGCCUAUAGACAGACUGUAACUGAGACCGGCUGAAGGUGUUACUGCUGCUGUAUCUAACUGUAGUGACUGUAUAAUACCUGCCCAUCACCCCUUCAUCCUAUAGACAGACUGUAACUGAGACCGGCUGAAGGUGUUACUGCUGUUGUAUCUAACUGUAGUGACUGUAUAAUACCUGCCCAUCACCUCUUCAGCCUAUAGACAGACUGUAACUGAGACCGGCUGAAGGUGUUACUGCUGCUGUAUCUAACUGUAGUGACUGUAUAAUACCUGCCCAUCACCUCUUCAGCCUAUAGACAGACUGUAACUGAGAACGGCUGAAGGAGUUACUGCUGCUGUAUCUAACUGUAGUGACUGUAUAAUACCUGCCCAUCACCUCUUCAGCCUAUAUACAGACUGUAACUGAGACCGGCUGUAGGUGUUACUGCUGCUGUAUCUAACUGUAGUGACUGUAUAAUACCUGCCCAUCACCUCUUCAGCCUAUAGACAGACUGUAACUGAGACCAGCUGAAGGAGUUACUGCUGCUGUAUCUAACUGUAGUGACUGUAUAAUACCUGCCCAUCACCUCUUCAGCCUAUAGACAGACUGUAACUGAGACUGGCUGAAGGAGUUACUGCUGCUGUAUCUAACUGUAGUGACUGUAUAAUACCUGCCCAUCACCUCUUCAGCCUAUAGACAGACUGUAACUGAGACCGGCUGAAGGAGUUACUGCUGCUGUAUCUAACUGUAGUGACUGUAUAAUACCUGCCCAUCACCUCUUCAGCCUAUAGACAGACUGUAACUGAGACCCGCUGAAUGAGUUACUGCUGCUGUAUCUAACUCUAGUGACUGUAUAAUACCUGCCCAUCACCCUUUCAUCCUAUAGACAGACUGUAACUGAGACCGGCUGAAGGUGUUACUGCUGCUGUAUCUAACUGUAGUGACUGUAUAAUACCUGCCCGUCACCUCUUCAGCCUAUAGACAGACUGUAACUGAGACCAGCUGAAGGUGUUACUGCUGCUGUAUCUAACUGUAGUGACUGUAUAAUACCUGUCCGUCACCUCUUCAGCCUAUAUACAGACUGUAACUGAGACCGGCUGUAGGUGUUACUGCUGCUGUAUCUAACUGUAGUGACUGUAUAAUACCUGCCCAUCACCUCUUCAGCCUAUAGACAGACUGUAACUGAGACCAGCUGAAGGUGUUACUGCUGCUGUAUCUAACUGUAGUGACUGUAUAAUACCUGCCCAUCACCUCUUCAGCCUAUAGACAGACUGUAACUGAGACCAGCUGAAGGUGUUACUGCUGCUGUAUCUAACUGUAGUGACUGUAUAAUACCUGCCCAUCACCCUUUCAUCCUAUAGACAGACUGUAACUGAGACCGGCUGUAGGUGUUACUGCUGCUGUAUCUAACUGUAGUGACUGUAUAAUACCUGCCCAUCACCCUUUCAUCCUAUAGACAGACUGUAACUGAGACCGACUGAAGGUGUUACUGCUGCUGUAUCUAACUGUAGUGACUGUAUAAUACCUGCCCAUCACCUCUUCAGCCUAUAGACAGACUGUAACUGAGACCGGCUGAAGGUGUUACUGCUGCUGUAUCUAACUGUAGUGACUGUAUAAUACCUGCCCAUCACCUCUUCAGCCUAUAGACAGACUGUAACUGAGACCGACUGAAGAAGUUACUGCUGCUGUAUCUAACUGUAGUGACUGUAUAAUACCUGCCCAUCACCUCUUCAGCCUAUAGACAGACUGUAACUGAGACUGCCUGAAGGUGUUACUGCUGCUGUAUCUAACUGUAGUGACUGUAUAAUACCUGCCCAUCACCUCUUCAGCCUAUAGACAGACUGUAGCUGAGACCGGCUGAAGGAGUUACUGCUGCUGUAUCUAACUGUAGUGACUGUAUAAUACCUGCCCAUCACCCUUUCAUCCUAUAGACAGACUGUAACUGAGACCGGCUGAAGGUGUUACUGCUGCUGUAUCUAACUGUAGUGACUGUAUAAUACCUGCCCGUCACCUCUUCAGCCUAUAGACAGACUGUAACUGAGACCAGCUGAAGGUGUUACUGCUGCUGUAUCUAACUGUAGUGACUGUAUAAUACCUGCCCGUCACCUCUUCAGCCUAUAGACAGACUGUAACUGAGACCAGCUGAAGGUGUUACUGCUGCUGUAUCUAACUGUAGUGACUGUAUAAUACCUGCCCAUCACCUCUUCAGGCUAUAGACAGACUGUAACUGAGACCGGCUGAAGGUGUUACUGCUGCUGUAUCUAACUGUAGUGACUGUAUAAUACCUGCCCAUCACCUCUUCAUCCUAUAGACAGACUGUAACUGAGACCGGCUGAAGGUGUUACUGCUGCUGUAACUGAGACUGACUGAAGGAGUUACUGCCGCUGUAUCUAACUGUAGUGACUGUAUAAUACCUGCCCAUCACCUCUUCAGCCUAUAGACAGACUGUAACUGAGACUGACUGAAGGAGUUACUGCCGCUGUAUCUAACUGUAGUGACUGUAUAAUACCUGCCCAUCACCUCUUCAGCCUAUAGACAGACUGUAACUGAGACCGACUGAAGGUGUUACUGCUGCUGAAUCUAACUGUAGUUACUGUAUAAUACCUGCCCAUCACCUCUUCAGCCUAUAGACAGACUGUAACUGAGACCAGCUGAAGGUGUUACUGCUGCUGUAUCUAACUGUAGUGACUGUAUAAUACCUGCCCAUCACCUCUUCAGCCUAUAUACAGACUGUAACUGAGACCGGCUGAAGGUGUUACUGCUGCUGUAUCUAACUGUAGUGACUGUAUAAUACCUGCCCGUCACCUCUUCAGCCUAUAGACAGACUGUAACUGAGACCAGCUGAAGGUGUUACUGCUGCUGUAUCUAACUGUAGUGACUGUAUAAUACCUGCCCGUCACCUCUUCAGCCUAUAGACAGACUGUAACUGAGACCAGCUGAAGGUGUUACUGCUGCUGUAUCUAACUGUAGUGACUGUAUAAUACCUGCCCAUCACCUCUUCAGGCUAUAGACAGACUGUAACUGAGACCGGCUGAAGGUGUUACUGCUGCUGUAUCUAACUGUAGUGACUGUAUAAUACCUGCCCAUCACCUCUUCAUCCUAUAGACAGACUGUAACUGAGACCGGCUGAAGGUGUUACUGCUGCUGUAACUGAGACUGACUGAAGGAGUUACUGCCGCUGUAUCUAACUGUAGUGACUGUAUAAUACCUGCCCAUCACCUCUUCAGCCUAUAGACAGACUGUAACUGAGACUGACUGAAGGAGUUACUGCCGCUGUGUCUAACUGUAGUGACUGUAUAAUACCUGCCCAUCACCUCUUCAGCCUAUAGACAGACUGUAACUGAGACCGACUGAAGGUGUUACUGCUGCUGUAUCUAACUGUAGUGACUGUAUAAUACCUGCCCAUCACCUCUUCAGCCUAUAUACAGACUGUAACUGAGACCGGCUGAAGGUGUUACUGCUGCUGUAUCUAACUGUAGUGACUGUAUAAUACCUGCCCAUCACCUCUUCAGCCUAUAGACAAACUGUAACUGAGACCGGCUGAAGGUGUUACUGCUGCUGUAUCUAACUGUAGUGACUGUAUAAUACCUGCCCAUCACCUCUUCAGCCUAUAGACAGACUGUAACUGAGAUCGGCUGUAGGUGUUACUGCUGCUGUAUCUAACUGUAGUGACUGUAUAAUACCUGCCCAUCACCCCUUCAUCCUAUAGACAGACUGUAACUGAGACCGGCUGAAUGAGUUACUGCUGCUGUAUCUAACUGUAGUUACUGUAUAAUACCUGCCCAUCACCUCUUCAGCCUAUAGACAGACUGUAACUGAGACCGGCUGAAGGAGUUACUGCCGCUGUAUCUAACUGUAGUGACUGUAUAAUACCUGCCCAUCACCUCUUCAGCCUAUAGACAGACUGUAACUGAGACCAGCUGAAGGUGUUACUGCUGCUGUAUCUAACUGUAGUGACUGUAUAAUAUCUGCCCAUCACCUCUUCAGCCUAUAUACAGACUGUAACUGAGACCGGCUGAAGGUGUUACUGCUGCUGUAUCUAACUGUAGUGACUGUAUAAUACCUGCCCAUCACCUCUUCAGCCUAUAGACAAACUGUAACUGAGACCGGCUGAAGGUGUUACUGCUGCUGUAUCUAACUGUAGUGACUGUAUAAUACCUGCCCAUCACCUCUUCAGCCUAUAGACAGACUGUAACUGAGACCCGCUGAAUGAGUUACUGCUGCUGUAUCUAACUGUAGUCACUGUAUAAUACCUGCCCAUCACCCUUUCAUCCUAUAGACAGACUGUAACUGAGACCGGCUGAAGGUGUUACUGCUGCUGUAUCUAACUGUAGUGGCUGUAUAAUACCUGCCCAUCACCUCUUCAGCCUAUAGACAGACUGUAACUGAGACCGGCUGAAGGAGUUACUGCUGCUGUAUCUAACUGUAGUGACUGUAUAAUACCUGCCCAUCACCUCUUCAGCCUAUAGACAGACUGUAACUGAGACCAGCUGAAGGUGUUACUGCUGCUGUAUCUAACUGUAGUGACUGUAUAAUACCUGCCCAUCACCUCUUCAGCCUAUAGACAGACUGUAACUGAGACCGUCUGAAGGUGUUACUGCUGCUGUAUCUAACUGUAGUGACUGUAUAAUACCUGCCCAUCACCUCUUCAGCCUAUAGACAGACUGUAACUGAGACCGGCUGAAGGAGUUACUGCUGCUGUAUCUAACUGUAGUGACUGUAUAAUACCUGCCCGUCACCUCUUCAGCCUAUAGACAGACUGUAACUGAGACCAGCUGAAGGUGUUACUGCUGCUGUAUCUAACUGUAGUGACUGUAUAAUACCUGCCCAUCACCCUUUCAUCCUAUAGACAGACUGUAACUGAGACCGGCUGAAGGUGUUACUGCUGCUGUAUCUAACUGUAGUGACUGUAUAAUACUUGCCCAUCACCUCUUCAGCCUAUAGACAGACUGUAACUGAGACCGACUGAUGGUGUUACUGCUGCUGUAACUGAGACUGACUGAAGGAGUUACUGCCGCUGUAUCUAACUGUAGUGACUGUAUAAUACCUGCCCAUCACCUCUUCAGCCUAUAGACAGACUGUAACUGAGACCGACUGAAGGAGUUACUGCUGCUGUAUCUAACUGUAGUGACUGUAUAAUACCUGCCCAUCACCUCUUCAGCCUAUAGACAGACUGUAACUGAGACCGGCUGAAGGAGUUACUGCUGCUGUAUCUAACUGUAGUGACUGUAUAAUACCUGCCCAUCACCUCUUCAGCCUAUAGACAGACUGUAACUGAGACCGACUGAAGGAGUUAAUGCUGCUGUAUCUAACUGUAGUGACUGUAUAAUACCUGCCCAUCACCUCUUCAGCCUAUAGACAGACUGUAACUGAGACCGGCUGAAGGUGUUACUGCUGCUGUAUCUAACUGUAGUGACUGUAUAAUACUUGCCCAUCACCUCUUCAGCCUAUAGACAGACUGUAACUGAGACCGACUGAAGGAGUUACUGCUGCUGUAUCUAACUGUAGUGACUGUAUAAUACCUGCCCAUCACCUCUUCAUCCUAUAGACAGACUGUAACUGAGACCGGCUGAAGGUGUUACUGCUGCUGUAUCUAACUGUAGUGACUGUAUAAUACCUGCCCAUCACCUCUUCAGCCUAUAGACAGACUGUAACUGAGACCGGCUGAAGGUGUUACUGCUGCUGUAUCUAACUGUAGUGACUGUAUAAUACCUGCCCAUCACCUCUUCAGCCUAUAGACAGACUGUAACUGAGACCGGCUGAAGGUGUUACUGCUGCUGUAUCUAACUGUAGUGACUGUAUAAUACCUGCCCAUCACCCCUUCAUCCUAUAGACAGACUGUAACUGAGACCGGCUGAAGGAGUUACUGCUGCUGUAUCUAACUGUAGUGACUGUAUAAUACCUGCCCAUCACCCCUUCAUCCUAUAGACAGACUGUAACUGAGACCGGCUGAAGGUGUUACUGCUGCUGUAUCUAACUGUAGUGACUGUAUAAUACCUGCCCAUCACCUCUUCAGCCUAUAGACAGACUGUAACUGAGACCGGCUGAAGGAGUUACUGCUGUUGUAUCUAACUGUAGUGACUGUAUAAUACCUGCCCAUCACCUCUUCAGCCUAUAGACAGACUGUAACUGAGACCGGCUGAAGGUGUUACUGCUGCUGUAUCUAACUGUAGUGACUGUAUAAUACCUGCCCAUCACCCCUUCAUCCUAUAGACAGACUGUAACUGAGACCGGCUGAAGGAGUUACUGCUGCUGUAUCUAACUGUAGUGACUAUAUAAUACCUGCCCAUCACCCCUUCAUCCUAUAGACAGACUGUAACUGAGACCGGCUGAAGGUGUUACUGCUGCUGUAUCUAACUGUAGUGACUGUAUAAUACCUGCCCGUCACCUUUUCAGCCUAUAGACAGACUGUAACUGAGACUGGCUGAAGGUGUUACUGCUGCUGUAUCUAACUGUAGUGACUGUAUAAUACCUGCCCAUCACCUCUUCAGCCUAUAGACAGACUGUAACUGAGACUGGCUGAAGGUGUUACUGCUGCUGUAUCUAACUGUAGUGACUGUAUAAUACCUGCCCAUCACCUCUUCAGCCUAUAGACAGACUGUAACUGAGACCGGCUGAAGGAGUUACUGCUGCUGUAUCUAACUGUAGUGACUGUAUAAUACCUGCCCAUCACCUCUUCAGCCUAUAGACAGACUGUAACUGAGACCGACUGAAGGUGUUACUGCUGCUGUAUCUAACUGUAGUGACUGUAUAAUACCUGCCCAUCACCUCUUCAGCCUAUAUACAGACUGUAACUGAGACCGGCUGAAGGUGUUACUGCUGCUGUAUCUAACUGUAGUGACUGUAUAAUACCUGCUCAUCACCUCUUCAGCCUAUAGACAGACUGUAACUGAGACCGGCUGAAGGAGUUACUGCUGCUGUAUCUAACUGUAGUGACUGUAUAAUACCUGCCCGUCACCUCUUCAGCCUAUAGACAGACUGUAACUGAGACCAGCUGAAGGUGUUACUGCUGCUGUAUCUAACUGUAGUGACUGUAUAAUACCUGCCCAUCACCCUUUCAUCCUAUAGACAGACUGUAACUGAGACCGGCUGAAGGUGUUACUGCUGCUGUAUCUAACUGUAGUGACUGUAUAAUACUUGCCCAUCACCUCUUCAGCCUAUAGACAGACUGUAACUGAGACCGACUGAUGGUGUUACUGCUGCUGUAACUGAGACUGACUGAAGGAGUUACUGCCGCUGUAUCUAACUGUAGUGACUGUAUAAUACCUGCCCAUCACCUCUUCAGCCUAUAGACAGACUGUAACUGAGACCGACUGAAGGAGUUACUGCUGCUGUAUCUAACUGUAGUGACUGUAUAAUACCUGCCCAUCACCUCUUCAGCCUAUAGACAGACUGUAACUGAGACCGGCUGAAGGAGUUACUGCUGCUGUAUCUAACUGUAGUGACUGUAUAAUACCUGCCCAUCACCUCUUCAGCCUAUAGACAGACUGUAACUGAGACCGACUGAAGGAGUUAAUGCUGCUGUAUCUAACUGUAGUGACUGUAUAAUACCUGCCCAUCACCUCUUCAGCCUAUAGACAGACUGUAACUGAGACCGGCUGAAGGUGUUACUGCUGCUGUAUCUAACUGUAGUGACUGUAUAAUACCUGCCCAUCACCCCUUCAUCCUAUAGACAGACUGUAACUGAGACCGGCUGAAGGUGUUACUGCUGCUGUAUCUAACUGUAGUGACUGUAUAAUACCUGCCCAUCACCUCUUCAGCCUAUAGACAGACUGUAACUGAGACCGGCUGAAGGUGUUACUGCUGCUGUAUCUAACUGUAGUGACUGUAUAAUACCUGCCCAUCACCCCUUCAUCCUAUAGACAGACUGUAACUGAGACCGGCUGAAGGAGUUACUGCUGCUGUAUCUAACUGUAGUGACUGUAUAAUACCUGCCCAUCACCCCUUCAUCCUAUAGACAGACUGUAACUGAGACCGGCUGAAGGUGUUACUGCUGCUGUAUCUAACUGUAGUGACUGUAUAAUACCUGCCCAUCACCUCUUCAGCCUAUAGACAGACUGUAACUGAGACCGGCUGAAGGAGUUACUGCUGUUGUAUCUAACUGUAGUGACUGUAUAAUACCUGCCCAUCACCUCUUCAGCCUAUAGACAGACUGUAACUGAGACCGGCUGAAGGUGUUACUGCUGCUGUAUCUAACUGUAGUGACUGUAUAAUACCUGCCCAUCACCCCUUCAUCCUAUAGACAGACUGUAACUGAGACCGGCUGAAGGAGUUAUUGCUGCUGUAUCUAACUGUAGUGACUAUAUAAUACCUGCCCAUCACCCCUUCAUCCUAUAGACAGACUGUAACUGAGACCGGCUGAAGGUGUUACUGCUGCUGUAUCUAACUGUAGUGACUGUAUAAUACCUGCCCGUCACCUCUUCAGCCUAUAGACAGACUGUAACUGAGACUGGCUGAAGGUGUUACUGCUGCUGUAUCUAACUGUAGUGACUGUAUAAUACCUGCCCAUCACCUCUUCAGCCUAUAGACAGACUGUAACUGAGACUGGCUGAAGGUGUUACUGCUGCUGUAUCUAACUGUAGUGACUGUAUAAUACCUGCCCAUCACCUCUUCAGCCUAUAGACAGACUGUAACUGAGACCGGCUGAAGGAGUUACUGCUGCUGUAUCUAACUGUAGUGACUGUAUAAUACCUGCCCAUCACCUCUUCAGCCUAUAGACAGACUGUAACUGAGACCGACUGAAGGUGUUACUGCUGCUGUAUCUAACUGUAGUGACUGUAUAAUACCUGCCCAUCACCUCUUCAGCCUAUAUACAGACUGUAACUGAGACCGGCUGAAGGUGUUACUGCUGCUGUAUCUAACUUUAGUGACUGUAUAAUACCUGCUCAUCACCUCUUCAGCCUAUAGACAGACUGUAACUGAGACCGGCUGAAGGAGUUACUGCUGCUGUAUCUAACUGUAGUGACUGUAUAAUACCUUCCCAUCACCUCUUCAGCCUAUAGACAGACUGUAACUGAGACCCGCUGAAGGUGUUACUGCUGCUGUAUCUAACUGUAGUGACUGUAUAAUACCUGCCCAUCACCUCUUCAGCCUAUAGACAGACUGUAACUGAGACCGGCUGAAGGUGUUACUGCUGCUGUAUCUAACUGUAGUGACUGUAUAAUACCUGCCCAUCAACUCUUCAGCCUAUAGACAGACUGUAACUGAGACCGGCUGAAGGAGUUAAUGCUGCUGUAUCUAACUGUAGUGACUGUAUAAUACCUGCCCAUCACCCUUUCAUCCUAUAGACAGACUGUAACUGAGACCGGCUGAAGGUGUUACUGCUGCUGUAUCUAACUGUAGUGACUGUAUAAUACCUGCCCAUCACCUCUUCAGCCUAUAGACAGACUGUAACUGAGACCGGCUGAAGGUGUUACUGCUGCUGUAUCUAACUGUAGUGACUGUAUAAUACCUGCCCAUCACCUCUUCAGCCUAUAGACAGACUGUAACUGAGACCGGCUGAAGGUGUUACUGCUGCUGUAUCUAACUGUAGUGACUGUAUAAUACCUGCUCAUCACCUCUUCAGCCUAUAGACAGACUGUAACUGAAACCAGCUGAAGGUGUUACUGCUGCUGUAUCUAACUGUAGUGACUGUAUAAUACCUGCCCAUCACCCUUUCAUCCUAUAGACAGACUGUAACUGAGACCGGCUGAAGGUGUUACUGCUGCUGUAUCUAACUGUAGUGACUGUAUAAUACUUGCCCAUCACCUCUUCAGCCUAUAGACAGACUGUAACUCAGACCGACUGAUGGUGUUACUGCUGCUGUAACUGAGACCGACUGAAGGAGUUACUGCUGCUGUAUCUAACUGUAGUGACUGUAUAAUACCUGCCCAUCACCUCUUCAGCCUAUAUACAGACUGUAACUGAGACCGGCUGAUUGUGUUACUGCUGCUGUAUCUAACUGUAGUGACUGUAUAAUACCUGCUCAUCACCUCUUCAGCCUAUAGACAGACUGUAACUGAGAACGGCUGAAGGAGUUACUGCUGCUGUAUCUAACUGUAGUGACUGUAUAAUACCUGCCCAUCACCUCUUCAGCCUAUAGACAGACUGUAACUGAGACCGGCUGAAGGUGUUACCGGUGCUGUAUCUAACUGUAGUGACUGUAUAAUACCUGCCCAUCACCUCUUCAGCCUAUAGACAGACUGUAACUGAGACCGACUGAAGGAGUUACUGCGCUUUAUCUAACUUUAGUGACUGUUUAAUACCUGCCCAUCACCUCUUCAGCCUAUAGACAGACUGUAACUGAGAACGGCUGAAGGAGUUACUGCGCUUUAUCUAACUUUAGUGACUGUAUAAUACCUGCCCAUCACCUCUUCAGCCUAUAGACAGACUGUAACUGAGACCGGCUGAAGGAGUUACUGCUGCUGUAUCUAACUGUAGUGACUGUAUAAUACCUGCCCAUCACCUCUUCAGCCUAUAGACAGACUGUAACUGAGACCCGCUGAAUGAGUUACUGCUGCUGUAUCUAACUGUAGUGACUGUAUAAUACCUGCCCAUCACCCUUUCAUCCUAUAGACAGACUGUAACUGAGACCGGCUGAAGGUGUUACUGCUGCUGUAUCUAACUGUAGUGACUGUAUAAUACCUGCCCGUCACCUCUUCAGCCUAUAGACAGACUGUAACUGAGACCAGCUGAAGGUGUUACUGCUGCUGUAUCUAACUGUAGUGACUGUAUAAUACCUGUCCGUCACCUCUUCAGCCUAUAUACAGACUGUAACUGAGACCGGCUGUAGGUGUUACUGCUGCUGUAUCUAACUGUAGUGACUGUAUAAUACCUGCCCAUCACCUCUUCAGCCUAUAGACAGACUGUAACUGAGACCAGCUGAAGGUGUUAUUGCUGCUGUAUCUAACUGUAGUGACUGUAUAAUACCUGCCCAUCACCUCUUCAGCCUAUAGACAGACUGUAACUGAGACCAGCUGAAGGUGUUACUGCUGCUGUAUCUAACUGUAGUGACUGUAUAAUACCUGCCCAUCACCCUUUCAUCCUAUAGACAGACUGUAACUGAGACCGGCUGAAGGUGUUACUGCUGCUGUAUCUAACUGUAGUGACUGUAUAAUACUUGCCCAUCACCUCUUCAGCCUAUAGACAGACUGUAACUGAGACCGACUGAUGGUGUUACUGCUGCUGUAACUGAGACCGACUGAAGGAGUUACUGCUGCUGUAUCUAACUGUAGUGACUGUAUAAUACCUGCCCAUCACCUCUUCAGCCUAUAGACAGACUGUAACUGAGACCGGCUGAUUGUGUUACUGCUGCUGUAUCUAACUGUAGUGACUGUAUAAUACCUGCUCAUCACCUCUUCAGCCUAUAGACAGACUGUAACUGAGACCGGCUGAAGGAGUUACUGCUGCUGUAUCUAACUGUAGUGACUGUAUAAUACCUGCCCAUCACCUCUUCAGCCUAUAGACAGACUGUAACUGCGACCGGCUGAAGGAGUUACUGCUGCUGUAUCUAACUGUAGCGACUGUAUAAUACCUGCCCAUCACCUCUUCAGCCUAUAGACAGACUGUAACUGAGACCGACUGAAGGUGUUACUGCUGCUGUAUCUAACUGUAGUGACUGUAUAAUACCUGCUCAUCACCUCUUCAGCCUAUAGACAGACUGUAACUGAGACCGGCUGAAGGAGUUACUGCUGCUGUAUCUAACUGUAGUGACUGUAUAAUACCUGCCCAUCACCUCUUCAGCCUAUAGACAGACUGUAACUGAGACCCGCUGAAUGAGUUACUGCUGCUGUAUCUAACUGUAAUGACUGUAUAAUACCUGCCCAUCACCUCUUCAGCCUAUAGACAGACUGUAACUGAGACCGGCUGAAGGUGUUACUGCUGCUGUAUCUAACUGUAGUGACUGUAUAAUACCUGCCCAUCACCUCUUCAGCCUAUAGACAGACUGUAACUGAGACCGGCUAAAGGAGUUAAUGCUGCUGUAUCUAACUGUAGUGACUGUAUAAUACCUGCCCAUCACCUCUUCAGCCUAUAUACAGACUGUAACUGAGAACGGCUGAAGGAGUUACUGCGCUUUAUCUAACUUUAGUGACUGUAUAAUACCUGCCCAUCACCCUUUCAUCCUAUAGACAGACUGUAACUGAGACCGGCUGAAGGUGUUACUGCUGCUGUAUCUAACUGUAGUGACUGUAUAAUACCUGCUCAUCACCUCUUCAGCCUAUAGACAGACUGUAACUGAAACCAGCUGAAGGUGUUACUGCUGCUGUAUCUAACUGUAGUGACUGUAUAAUACCUGCCCAUCACCCUUUCAUCCUAUAGACAGACUGUAACUGAGACCGGCUGAAGGUGUUACUGCUGCUGUAUCUAACUGUAGUGACUGUAUAAUACUUGCCCAUCACCUCUUCAGCCUAUAGACAGACUGUAACUGAGACCGACUGAUGGUGUUACUGCUGCUGUAACUGAGACCGACUGAAGGAGUUACUGCUGCUGUAUCUAACUGUAGUGACUGUAUAAUACCUGCCCAUCACCUCUUCAGCCUAUAGACAGACUGUAACUGAGACUGGCUGAUUGUGUUACUGCUGCUGUAUCUAACUGUAGUGACUGUAUAAUACCUGCUCAUCACCUCUUCAGCCUAUAGACAGACUGUAACUGAGACCGGCUGAAGGUGUUACUGCUGCUGUAUCUAACUGUAGUGACUGUAUAAUACCUGCCCAUCACCUCUUCAGCCUAUAGACAGACUGUAACUGAGAACGGCUGAUGGAGUUACUGCUGCUGUAUCUAACUGUAGUGACUGUAUAAUACCUGCCCAUCACCUCUUCAGCCUAUAGACAGACUGUAACUGAGACCGGCUGAAGGUGUUACCGGUGCUGUAUCUAACUGUAGUGACUGUAUAAUACCUGCCCAUCACCUCUUCAGCCUAUAGACAGACUGUAACUGAGACCGACUGAAGGAGUUACUGCGCUUUAUCUAACUUUAGUGACUGUAUAAUACCUGCCCAUCACCUCUUCAGCCUAUAGACAGACUGUAACUGAGAACGGCUGAAGGAGUUACUGCGCUUUAUCUAACUUUAGUGACUGUAUAAUACCUGCCCAUCACCUCUUCAGCCUAUAGACAGACUGUAACUGAGACCGGCUGAAGGAGUUACUGCUGCUGUAUCUAACUGUAGUGACUGUAUAAUACCUGCCCAUCACCUCUUCAGCCUAUAGACAGACUGUAACUGAGACCCGCUGAAUGAGUUACUGCUGCUGUAUCUAACUCUAGUGACUGUAUAAUACCUGCCCAUCACCCUUUCAUCCUAUAGACAGACUGUAACUGAGACCGGCUGAAGGUGUUACUGCUGCUGUAUCUAACUGUAGUGACUGUAUAAUACCUGCCCGUCACCUCUUCAGCCUAUAGACAGACUGUAACUGAGACCAGCUGAAGGUGUUACUGCUGCUGUAUCUAACUGUAGUGACUGUAUAAUACCUGUCCGUCACCUCUUCAGCCUAUAUACAGACUGUAACUGAGACCGGCUGUAGGUGUUACUGCUGCUGUAUCUAACUGUAGUGACUGUAUAAUACCUGCCCAUCACCUCUUCAGCCUAUAGACAGACUGUAACUGAGACCAGCUGAAGGUGUUACUGCUGCUGUAUCUAACUGUAGUGACUGUAUAAUACCUGCCCAUCACCUCUUCAGCCUAUAGACAGACUGUAACUGAGACCAGCUGAAGGUGUUACUGCUGCUGUAUCUAACUGUAGUGACUGUAUAAUACCUGCCCAUCACCCUUUCAUCCUAUAGACAGACUGUAACUGAGACCGGCUGAAGGUGUUACUGCUGCUGUAUCUAACUGUAGUGACUGUAUAAUACCUGCCCAUCACCUCUUCAGCCUAUAGACAGACUGUAACUGAGACCGACUGAAGGAGUUACUGCUGCUGUAUCUAACUGUAGUGACUGUAUAAUACCUGCCCAUCACCUCUUCAGCCUAUAGACAGACUGUAACUGAGACUGCCUGAAGGUGUUACUGCUGCUGUAUCUAACUGUAGUGACUGUAUAAUACCUGCCCAUCACCUCUUCAUCCUAUAGACAGACUGUAACUGAGACCGACUGAAUGAGUUACUGCUGCUGUAUCUAACUGUAGUGACUGUAUAAUACCUGCCCAUCACCUCUUCAGCCUAUAGACAGACUGUAACUGAGACCGGCUGAAGGAGUUACUGCUGCUGUAUCUAACUGUAGUGACUGUAUAAUACCUGCCCAUCACCCUUUCAUCCUAUAGACAGACUGUAACUGAGACCGGCUGAAGGUGUUACUGCUGCUGUAUCUAACUGUAGUGACUGUAUAAUACCUGCCCGUCACCUCUUCAGCCUAUAGACAGACUGUAACUGAGACCAGCUGAAGGUGUUACUGCUGCUGUAUCUAACUGUAGUGACUGUAUAAUACCUGCCCGUCACCUCUUCAGCCUAUAGACAGACUGUAACUGAGACCAGCUGAAGGUGUUACUGCUGCUGUAUCUAACUGUAGUGACUGUAUAAUACCUGCCCAUCACCUCUUCAGGCUAUAGACAGACUGUAACUGAGACCGGCUGAAGGUGCUACUGCUGCUGUAUUUAACUGUAGUGACUGUAUAAUACCUGCCCAUCACCUCUUCAUCCUAUAGACAGACUGUAACUGAGACCGGCUGAAGGUGUUACUGCUGCUGUAACUGAGACUGACUGAAGGAGUUACUGCCGCUGUAUCUAACUGUAGUGACUGUAUAAUACCUGCCCAUCACCUCUUCAGCCUAUAGACAGACUGUAACUGAGACCGACUGAAGGAGUUACUGCUGCUGUAUCUAACUGUAGUGACUGUAUAAUACCUGCCCAUCACCUCUUCAGCCUAUAGACAGACUGUAACUGAGAACGGCUGAAGGAGUUACUGCGCUUUAUCUAACUUUAGUGACUGUAUAAUACCUGCCCAUCACCUCUUCAGCCUAUAGACAGACUGUAACUGAGACCGGCUGAAGGAGUUACUGCUGCUGUAUCUAACUGUAGUGACUGUAUAAUACCUGCCCAUCACCUCUUCAGCCUAUAGACAGACUGUAACUGAGACCCGCUGAAUGAGUUACUGCUGCUGUAUCUAACUCUAGUGACUGUAUAAUACCUGCCCAUCACCCUUUCAUCCUAUAGACAGACUGUAACUGAGACCGGCUGAAGGUGUUACUGCUGCUGUAUCUAACUGUAGUGACUGUAUAAUACCUGCCCGUCACCUCUUCAGCCUAUAGACAGACUGUAACUGAGACCAGCUGAAGGUGUUACUGCUGCUGUAUCUAACUGUAGUGACUGUAUAAUACCUGUCCGUCACCUCUUCAGCCUAUAUACAGACUGUAACUGAGACCGGCUGUAGGUGUUACUGCUGCUGUAUCUAACUGUAGUGACUGUAUAAUACCUGCCCAUCACCUCUUCAGCCUAUAGACAGACUGUAACUGAGACCAGCUGAAGGUGUUACUGCUGCUGUAUCUAACUGUAGUGACUGUAUAAUACCUGCCCAUCACCUCUUCAGCCUAUAGACAGACUGUAACUGAGACCAGCUGAAGGUGUUACUGCUGCUGUAUCUAACUGUAGUGACUGUAUAAUACCUGCCCAUCACCCUUUCAUCCUAUAGACAGACUGUAACUGAGACCGGCUGAAGGUGUUACUGCUGCUGUAUCUAACUGUAGUGACUGUAUAAUACCUGCCCAUCACCUCUUCAGCCUAUAGACAGACUGUAACUGAGACCGACUGAAGGAGUUACUGCUGCUGUAUCUAACUGUAGUGACUGUAUAAUACCUGCCCAUCACCUCUUCAGCCUAUAGACAGACUGUAACUGAGACUGCCUGAAGGUGUUACUGCUGCUGUAUCUAACUGUAGUGACUGUAUAAUACCUGCCCAUCACCUCUUCAUCCUAUAGACAGACUGUAACUGAGACCGACUGAAUGAGUUACUGCUGCUGUAUCUAACUGUAGUGACUGUAUAAUACCUGCCCAUCACCUCUUCAGCCUAUAGACAGACUGUAACUGAGACCGGCUGAAGGAGUUACUGCUGCUGUAUCUAACUGUAGUGACUGUAUAAUACCUGCCCAUCACCCUUUCAUCCUAUAGACA